UUCUUGAUGUCAUCAAAUAAGGCCAAUCAUAUGGUCCUUAGAAAAUAAUAGCCCAAAUGGUUAUAGGAGGAGAUGAAGAGAGGGAUUUUGGGGCAAUUUUAGAACCAACAGAGGAAGUUCCAUGGUCGUUUAGCCCACAGGAUUCUUGGCCCAUGGAAGAGGACCCAAGGGAUGAGCCCAUGCGGCAACAUAGGCCGAUCCACAAGUAGGAGGUGACAACGCGCAACCCACGUAUACGCUAGCUAUGCGGGCUGCCCAUGCGAGAGGGAAAGAGCUCCACGCAUUCGGGCAACCCAAUCUGCACAAGAUUCAAAGAUUACAUCUAAAACCCAUAUAGAUUUUAGCAUAGAUAACUCAAAACCCUAAACAAAUCCUUCUUACCAAACCCACAAUUAACUUGUAAUUGAGAACUUG
rnacentral:lncRNA from 1 species